AACGAACGCUGGCGGCAUGCCUAACACAUGCAAGUCGAACGAGACCUUCGGGUCUAGUGGCGCACGGGUGCGUAACGCGUGGGAACCUGCCCUUAGGUUCGGAAUAACUCCCCGAAAGGGGUGCUAAUACCGGAUAAUGUCUUCGGACCAAAGAUUUAUCGCCUUUGGAUGGGCCCGCGUUGGAUUAGCUAGUUGGUAGGGUAAAAGCCUACCAAGGCGACGAUCCAUAGCUGGUCUGAGAGGAUGAUCAGCCACACUGGGACUGAGACACGGCCCAGACUCCUACGGGAGGCAGCAGUGGGGAAUAUUGGACGAUGGGCGAAAGCCUGAUCCAGCAAUGCCGCGUGAGUGAUGAAGGCCUUAGGGUUGUAAAGCUCUUUUACCCGAGAUGAUAAUGACAGUACCGGGAGAAUAAGCUCCGGCUAACUCCAUG
rnacentral:rRNA from 1 species